UGGGGAAUAUUGCACAAUGGGCGCAAGCCUGAUGCAGCAACGCCGCGUGAGGGACGACGGCCUUCGGGUUGUAAACCUCUUUUGGCAGGGAAGAAGCGAAAGUGACGGUACCUGCAGAAAAAGCACCGGCUAACUACGUGCCAGCAGCCGCGGUGAUACGUAGGGUGCAAGCGUUGUCCGGAAUUAUUGGGCGUAAAGAGCUCGUAGGCGGUUUGUCGCGUCUGCUGUGAAAACCCGAGGCUCAACCUCGGGCCUGCAGUGGGUACGGGCAAACUAGAGUGCGGUAGGGGAGAUUGGAAUUCCUGGUGUAGCGGUGGAAUGCGCAGAUAUCAGGAGGAACACCGAUGGCGAAGGCAGAUCUCUGGGCCGUAACUGACGCUGAGGAGCGAAGCAUGGGGAGCGAACA
rnacentral:rRNA from 1 species